rnacentral:rRNA from 1 species
UACGUAGGGCGCAAGCGUUGUCCGGAAUUAUUGGGCGUAAAGAGCUCGUAGGCGGUUUGUCGCGUCUGCUGUGAAAACCUAAGGCUCAACCUUGGGCUUGCAGUGGGUACGGGCAGACUAGAGUGCGGUAGGGGGUGACUGGAAUUCCUGGUGUAGCGGUGGAAUGCGCAGAUAUCAGGAGGAACACCGAUGGCGAAGGCAGGUCACUGGGCCGCAACUGACGCUGGAGGA